rnacentral:rRNA from 1 species
GUUUGAUCCUGGCUCAGGACAAACGCUGGCGGCAAGCCUAACACAUGCAAGUCGAACGGACAAUUGUUUAUAUCUUUGGUAUAAAUAAUUGUUAGUGGCAGACGGGUGAGUAAUGCGUAGGAAUCUACCUAGUAGUAUGGAAUAGCCAUUAGAAAUGAUGGGUAAUACUGUAUAAUCCCUGCGGGGGAAAGAUUUAUCGCUAUUAGAUGAGCCUACGUUAGAUUAGCUAGUUGGUAAGGUAAUGGCUUACCAAGGCUAUGAUCUAUAGCUGGUCUGAGAGGACGAUCAGCCACACUGGAACUGAGAUACGGUCCAGACUCCUACGGGAGGCAGCAGUGGGGAAUAUUGGACAAUGGGCGAAAGCCUGAUCCAGCUAUGCCGCGUGAGUGAAGAAGGCCUUCGGGUUGUAAAGCUCUUUCAAUAGGGAAGAUAAUGACGGUACCUAUAGAAGAAGUCCCGGCAAACUCCGUGCCAGCAGCCGCGGUAAUACGGAGGGGGCAAGCGUUGUUCGGAAUUAUUGGGCGUAAAGGGCACGUAGGUGGACUAGUAAGUUAAAAGUGAAAUACCAAAGCUUAACUUUGGAGCUGCUUUUAAUACUGCUAGACUAGAGGUCGAAAGAG